rnacentral:rRNA from 1 species
CAAUAGCGUAUAUUAAAGUUGUUGCAGUUAAAAAGCUCGUAGUUGGAUUUCUGGCCGGAAGCUCCUGUCCUCUGAUGAGCGUACAAGUGCGUCCUACCAUCCUUCUGUUAACCUUUAAGGCUUUCGCGGCUUUCUAGGGGCUCAGAUAUUUUACCUUGAGAAAAUUAGAGUGUUUCAGGCAGGCUAGCGCCGGAAUACAUUAGCAUGGAAUAAUGGAAUAGGACUUUUGCCUCUUCUGUUGGUCAUGAGGCUCGAGUAAUGAUUAAUAGGGAUAGUUGGGGGCAUUAGUACUUAACUGUCAGAGGUGAAAUUCUCGGAUUUGUUAAAGACUAACUUAUGCGAAAGCAUUUGCCAAGGAUGUUUUCAUUAA